rnacentral:rRNA from 1 species
CCUACGGGGGGCAGCAGUGAGGAAUAUUGGUCAAUGGACGCAAGUCUGAACCAGCCAAGUAGCGUGCAGGAUGACGGCCCUCCGGGUUGUAAACUGCUUUUAGUUGGGAAUAAAAGGGGGCUCGUGAGCCCCGUAUUGUAUGUACCAUCAGAAAAAGGACCGGCUAAUUCCGUGGCAGCAGCCGCGGUAAUACGGAAGGUCCGGGGGUUAUCCGGAUUUUUUGGGUUUAAAGGGGUCGGAGGCCGGAGUUUAAGUCCGAUGUGAAAGGCCGCGGCUCAACCGGGGAAUUGCAGUUGAAACUGGAUGCCUUGAGUGCAGACAGGGAUGCCGGAAUUCAUGGUGUAGCGGUGAAAUGCGUAGAUAUCAUGAAGAACUCCGAUCGCGAAGGCAAGUGUCCGGGGUGCAACUGACGCUGAGGCUCGAAAGUGCGGGUAUCAAACAGGAUUAGAUACCCCUGUAGUC